rnacentral:rRNA from 1 species
CGAAAGCCUGACGGAGCAAGACCGCGUGGGGGAGGAAGGCUCUAGGGUUGUAAACCCCUUUUCUUUGGGAAGAACAAAAUGACGGUACCAAAGGAAUCAGCCUCGGCUAACUCCGUGCCAGCAGCCGCGGUAAUACGGAGGAGGCAAGCGUUAUCCGGAAUGAUUGGGCGUAAAGCGUCCGCAGGUGGCAAUGUAAGUCUGCUGUCAAAACCCAGGGCUCAACUCUGGUCAGGCAGUGGAAACUACAUAGCUAGAGUUCGGUAGGGGCAGAGGGAAUUCCCGGUGUAGCGGUGAAAUGCGUAGAUAUUGGGAAGAACACCAGUGGCGAAGGCGCUCUGCUGGACCGAAACUGACACUCAGGGACGAAAGCUAGGGGAGCG